UUAUCGCUUGUCAGUGGAUAUUUCUGCUCUGAUAUUUGCAUUUACUGAGAAGCUUCUGAACCUCAGAGAUGCUUCUGCCGAUGUGAUAGAUAUCACAGAUCAGAGGAUGGCUCUGGCCAUUGCUGAGAGUGUUGUAAGUGAAGAAAUAAUGAUGUUUGACAUUUGGCAUGAAUGAAUAUUAUAUCUGAGCCUUUAUAUCAUCAUACCAUCAAUUCAAUUCAUAAAAAAAAAAAGGGAUAUCUAUGUUCCAUAAAAUACAGCAGAAGAAACGUUGGAGAAUAGCCGCGUCAACAGAGCUUCUCGCUUCCAAGGGUAGUAGUGAAUGGAUAGCUGGCGAGGCAGCGAAGCUGAGGGUUUGGGGAACCUCAGUCGCAGAUUAAAAAAAAGGGCAGCCGGAGCAGAUAACGUGAAGUAGUGGGAUUAUGACUGGUAUGUAGUGGCAGGUGUUGUUUGUGCCUGGAUGGAAGAGAUGGCGGAACCUCGGAAUCGCCCAGCAGAGGAAGGACUGGAAGAAUAUCCGAGCAGAAUUAAUGAAAAGGACCAUAAUAAAAGCCUUAGGACUCAAGGGCGACAAUGAUGAACCAUGAAUGUCUUCUAGUUAGUUGUCAACUCUGCGUCCCGAGCUGUUCAGUAAAUAAAUAUAAUACAAGAAUGGUGUU
rnacentral:sRNA from 2 species